GUGCCAGCCGCCGCGGUAAUACGUAGGGUGCAAGCGUUGUCCGGAAUUAUUGGGCGUAAAGAGCUCGUAGGCGGUCUGUCGCGUCGGCUGUGAAAACCCGGGGCUCAACCCCGGGCCUGCAGUCGAUACGGGCAGACUAGAGUGUGGUAGGGGAGACUGGAAUUCCUGGUGUAGCGGUGAAAUGCGCAGAUAUCAGGAGGAACACCGGUGGCGAAGGCGGGUCUCUGGGCCAUAACUGACGCUGAGGAGCGAAAGCGUGGGGAGCGAACAGGAUUAGAUACCCGAGUAGUCC
rnacentral:rRNA from 1 species